AGCGAACGCUGGCGGCAGGCCUAAUACAUGCAAGUCGAGCGCACCUUCGGGUGAGCGGCGGACGGGUGAGUAACGCGUGGGAACGUGCCCUUUGGUACGGGAUAACUGAGGGAAACUUCAGCUAAUACCGUAUGUGCCCUACGGGGGAAAGAUUUAUCGCCAUUGGAGCGGCCCGCGUUGGAUUAGCUAGUUGGUGGGGUAAAGGCUCACCAAGGCUACGAUCCAUAGCUGGUCUGAGAGGAUGAUCAGCCACACUGGGACUGAGACACGGCCCAGACCCCUACGGGAGGCAGCAGUAGGGAAUCUUGCGCAAUGGGCGAAAGCCUGACGCAGCCAUGCCGCGUGAAUGAUGAAGGUCUUAGGAUUGUAAAAUUCUUUCACCGGGGAAGAUAAUGACGGUACCCGGAGAAGAAGCCCCGGCUAACUUCGUGCCAGCCGCCGCUGUAAAAC
rnacentral:rRNA from 1 species